AGAACUUAGAGGCAUCCUGGCUGCACUGCCACAUCUGCCCUUGCCUAGAGAGGGUGUGCAGAUCCGUGCAGGACAAUUUAAGCCCUCGAGCAAUGGCCUCUGAAUCUUUCUCCACCUCGAGGCUCUGUUCUGCUUUGUGAUGGUUUCAUUCUCAGUCAGGUUUUCCCUAGGAAGAGGCAGAAAUGGCCACUGGCAGCUCCAGGCUUCCAUUUUACCAGCUUAGAAACUAUAGAAGGAAGAACAUGCCUCCUUCCCUUCACGCCAGCAGGUGUGCUGUGGCUGAUGCUGCCCUGGCUUGGAACACGUGAGCUUCCCAAACAAUCACAGAGGCCAGGGUGAUGAAAACUCUCAUGUGGCUACCUAGGAGCAGGCUGUUCUGGACAUUUGAAACACAACUGGAGAAGGCGGUUUCCCGAAGAAAAAUUGGAGGGCUGGGAUGCAAGGAAGUGGGAAGGAAUGCUGGGAAUGCUCAACAAUAGUUGUCUACAACAGUAUUUCCCUGAACAUCCAGGAAAAAUGUGGAAAAGCAAUUAUUUGCACACAUUUAAUAUUAUCUAGGAGCUGGCCCCACGGCCAAGUGGUGAAGUUCGCGUGCUCUUCUUCUGUGGGUUGGGGUUCGCUGGUUCAGAUCCUGGGUGUGGACAUACACACCGCUCAUCAAGACAUGCUGUGGUGGCAUCCCACAUAGAACUAGAAUGACCUACAACUAGGACAUACGACUAUGAACUGGGGCUUUGAGGAAAAAAAAGAAAAAAAUAUUGUCUUGAUUGCUUAGAAGCCACUGAAAGGUGCAAAGUCAAAGACAAGGGCAAAAACCAGGGCUUAACCACAGAAAUAUCUUAAUGCACGAUGGAAUGUGGGUGAGACAGGUAUGUGAAAAAUUGUAAUCAGGGAGAAAAUUGAUAGAUGCCAUGAUGUGAGCAUAAAUCCAGAGUUUAUAAAAACCAGCAAUGAUAGUGACAACUCAGAAAAUAUUGGAGAAGAAUUCUGGCAUUCUUGGCUUCCAUCCAGUAGGGCUGAACUCCUUAAACUUUAGUGUGACUCUGAUGUUGCUGUUCACGGACCUUGCACUGGGUAGCAAAGCAGUAGAGAGUUAGGUCAUUGCACAGCUUGUACUGAUCUCCUGUUCCUAAAGAAGAGGUGGUAGUGUUUGGAUAACACCAGGAUAGCGUCCCCAGUGCAGCACGGGCUGUGAGAAAGCUUGUUGGAGGGGUCGCUUCUAAAUGACGAGGCCUAGUGGGGCAGGUCGCCUGACCUCGAAUGCUAAUGUUGGCAGUUUCUCUUUGUGCUGUGGCAGCAUUUUCAAAAGUGCAUUAUGCUGCUAAAUGAAUUAUACACAGUGAGAUAAUCACAGGCCUCCACUGCCAACAGACAGCUCCCCCUGGAAUGAAUUUGGAGAGGGAGAGUAUUAAAAAAAUAGUCAAACUGUGGGAUAAUGGGUAACAAGAAAUAUUUUCAAAAUGAGCCAUAAAAGGAUGUUUGGAGAAAGUUAAUUUUUAAAUGUCUGCUCCUACUCUGUGGUACAGGCUCCCUGGAAGACUGAGAAGAGCAUUUCUUCUCCUUCUGCAGCUCUCCCCUGGGCUGUCUUUGGAAAAUAUUGAUUUGUCUCCUUAAUUUGUUAAGCAGCAAAUCCAACAACAAGUUUCAACUUGCUGACUUGAAUUUUCAUAGCAUGGUCAUAAUCAGACCCAGCUUAUAGCAGGGAACGCAACUGCAUUCUAAAUUGGGUCCUUCUUUUAUGUUAGAAGAAUAAGUGGAGGUACUCCUCAAAAUAUUCAAGGACCAAAUGUUUGAGUCUAGAAAUAAAAAAUGAAUAAAACAAAAUGAAAAAAAAUAUGAAGACUAUAACUCUGGGAGUUCAGGACAUACUGCAAUUAGGAUCUAGUUAUUUUUCAGGAAGUCAUUGGUCAUUUUGACUUUGAAGCCAUUGGUCAAAAGUGGAAAUUAGAAUUUACGGC
ensembl:lncRNA